UACGUAGGUGGCAAGCGUUGUCCGGAAUUAUUGGGCGUAAAGCGCGCGCAGGUGGUUCCUUAAGUCUGAUGUGAAAGCCCACGGCUCAACCGUGGGAGGGUCAUUGAAACUGGGGAACUUGAGUGCAGAAGAGGAAAGUGGAAUUCCAAGUGUAGCGGUGAAAUGCGUAGAGAUUUGGAGGAACACCAGUGGCGAAGGCGACUUUCUGGUCUGUAACUGACACUGAGGCGCGAAAGCGUGGGGAGUCAAACAGG
rnacentral:rRNA from 1 species